UGUUCGGAUCGCGGCGACGUGGGCGCUCGUCGCCGACGACGUCGCGAGAAGUCCACUGAACCUUAUCAUUUAGAGGAAGGAGAAGUCGUAACAAGGUUUCCGUAGGUGAACCUGCGGAAGGAUCAUUG
rnacentral:rRNA from 1 species